rnacentral:lncRNA from 1 species
AGAAUUUAUGAUGGUGCAUUAAAAUAUUAAUGACACAAUAAGUUUAAAAGGCAGUUUAGAUUUUUUUUCACUAAAUGGCAUAUAUGUAGAGAUAUAUACCACUGUACAGUAUGUCAAAUGGACCUAAUUUUGUAUAUUUGUGUAAGAAAAACUUGUGUAUGGUAGAAGACACUAAAUAUAGCCAACAAAAUGAAAAAUAGGAUUAUAGGUGUUAUUUAUGUAACUUUUUCUUUUUUAAAUCUUUCUACAAUAGAAAUAUAAUUCUUCUAAGAACAUUGUCUUUUUAAAAACUCUUCUACCUGCUUUGCUAGAACCUGAUUUGGACAAUUUGAUAAAAUUUUUCAGGCACAAGAGAAAGUAUACUUAAUAAAAUAGAUUUCUCAGAAAUAGCCUAUGUGUCAAAUUCUAUUUCAUCCAUUUAAUGCUUCUAAAUCUUUAUGCUAUAAUCUAGCAUAAACUUAGGUAGGAACAUUUAUUUUAGUCAGAAAACAUGUUAACAAUUGUGUUGCCAAGCAAUGCGGUAAACGGCAGGAACUGAAAGAUCGUCUAUUUCAAGUAAUUAAAUCAUAUUUAAUAUUAAAUAAUAACCCAAACAUAAUUGUCUAGUUUAUUCCAUUGAACAAAUUUUAUUUUGUGUAUCCCGUCUCUACUAAAAUACAAAAAAUUAGCCAGGCAUGGUAGCACACGCCUGUAGUCCCAGCUACUCGGGAGGCUGAGGCAGGGGAAUCACUCGAACCCGGGAGGCGGNNNNNNNNNNNNNNNNNNNNNNNNNNGCCACUGCACUCCAGCCUGGUGACAAAGAGAGACUCUGUCUCAAAAAAGAAAAAAAAAUCUUUUAAACUAUACAAAAGUUAAAUUAGCAGCACACUUUACUCUCAUAAACUUUUCACCAAGAUUGACCAAUUCUUAAUUUUUGUCAUCUUAUAUAUAAACAUUUGAGAAUAAGCUGCAGUAAGUCCUCAUCCCUAAAGACUUCUGCAUGCGUCUCCUAAUAAGGAUAUUUCCUGGUGUGACCAAGGUACAAUUAUAACAGAAGGAAAUGUAUAAUUGAUAACAGCAUUAUCCCCUAAUACAUAGACUACAUUUAAAUUUCACCAAUUGUCCCAAUACUGCCCUUUAGAGCCAUGUUUUUUCCCAAACCAGGAUCCAAUCCAGAACUUCAUGUGGCAUUUAGCUAUCACAUUGCUGUAGAUUCCUUCACUCUGGGGCAUGUCCUCACCUCACCUAACAUGGC